rnacentral:rRNA from 1 species
ACGAUGCGUAGCCGACCUGAGAGGGUGAUCGGCCACACUGGGACUGAGACACGGCCCAGACUCCUACGGGAGGCAGCAGUAGGGAAUCUUCCGCAAUGGACGAAAGUCUGACGGAGCAACGCCGCGUGAGUGAUGAAGGUUUUCGGAUCGUAAAGCUCUGUUGUUAGGGAAGAACAAGUGCCGUUCAAAUAGGGCGGCACCUUGACGGUACCUAACCAGAAAGCCACGGCUAACUACGUGCCAGCAGCCGCGGUAAUACGUAGGUGGCAAGCGUUGUCCGGAAUUAUUGGGCGUAAAGGGCUCGCAGGCGGUUUCUUAAGUCUGAUGUGAAAGCCCCCGGCUCAACCGGGGAGGGUCAUUGGAAACUGGGGAACUUGAGUGCAGAAGAGGAGAGUGGAAUUCCACGUGUAGCGGUGAAAUGCGUAGAGAUGUGGAGGAACACCAGUGGCGAAGGCGACUCUCUGGUCUGUAACUGACGCUGAGGAGCGAAAGCGUGGGGAGCGAACAGGAUUAGAU